UGUGGAGUCUUGUUCGCUUAACGGUUCUUCAAUAAUAUAUGCCAAUCCAAGAUAUUGCAUCAUUUUAAGACAGAAAUGUAGUUGUUGGUUUGCACAGACACAUUGUACAGUGGCCACUAUUAGGCAGACCACAUAAUUACUUUCAAGAGUGAUUCUUUCAGUACGACGUUUAUUUCCAAAUGAGGACAGAUAACUACAUGUGACGUUAUCAAUCUGAAGGAUUCCAGAAAUGCUGUCAAAUACAACUUCAAAGGCCAUACAUCUCUAUCCUAAACCCGACACACCUUGGAAACUUAACGUAAAAUGUUUGAGAACACUGGUCACGGGAAGAUGCAUGAGAAUUGUCUUCAUCGUCAUGAAUAAGAUAUACGUUCAACGUAUACUCAUGAACACUUACGACUGUCAAUCGGCAUGAUCAGGCGAUUUCGUAACAAUCUUGCUACUUCAAAGCAGUAAAUCUCCU